rnacentral:misc_RNA from 1 species
GUUGGUGAACCAGCGGAGGGAUCAUUACCGAGUUUACAACUCCCAAACCCCUGUGAACAUACCUAUCGUUGCUUCGGCGGAUCCGCCCCGGUGCCUUCGGGCCCGGACUCAGGCGCCCGCCGGGGGACCCAAACUCUUGUAUUUCUUUAGUAUCUUCUGAGUAAACAAGCAAAUAAAUUAAAACUUUCAACAACGGAUCUCUUGGUUCUGGCAUCGAUGAAGAACGCAGCAUCUGACUGACUGGCAGUGU